UACGAAGGGGGCUAGCGUUGCUCGGAAUUACUGGGCGUAAAGGGCGCGUAGGCGGGUUGUUUAGUUAGAGGUGAAAGCCCAGGGCUCAACCCUGGAACUGCCUUUAAUACUGGCGACCUAGAGUAUGACAGAGGUGUGUGGAACUCCGAGUGUAGAGGUGAAAUUCGUAGAUAUUCGGAAGAACACCAGUGGCGAAGGCGACACACUGGGUCAUUACUGACGCUGAGGCGCGAAAGCGUGGGGAGCAAACAGG
rnacentral:rRNA from 1 species